rnacentral:rRNA from 1 species
UACGGAGGGUGCGAGCGUUGUCCGGAAUCACUGGGCGUAAAGGGCGCGUAGGCGGCCGUGUAAGUCACUUGUGAAAUCCCGGGGCUCAACUCCGGGGCUGCAGGUGAGACUGCAUGGCUAGAGCUUGGUAGAGGCGAGUGGAAUUCCCGGUGUAGCGGUGGAAUGCGUAGAUAUCGGGAGGAACACCUGUGGCGAAAGCGGCGCACUGGACCACAACUGACGCUGAUGCGCGAAAGCUAGGGGAGCAAACAGG